CCCUGCCCCAUGUUCAGCCUCGAGGGUGGCUCCUGCCUCCCUUGUGCAGGCUCAGAGCCAAGCUGACGGGGCUGGGUACCACCUCUGUGCUGUCUCNNNNNNNNNNNNNNNNNNNNNNNNNNNNNNNNNNNNNNNNNNNNNNNNGCAGGGACCGGGAGGAGGCGGGGCAGCUGGAGAGGCGGCUCGUGGUUUGUGGCCUCAGACUCCAGGCCCUGCGGGAGGAGGUGGCGGAUGAGCCUGCUACAGAGCACGAAGCAGCGAGAAAGAUGCAGAAGAAAGUGGAGAUGGUGGAGGAAAAGCUGGCGCGCGUGCAGACAGCCCUGCGGCGCCGGGCUGCAGACCUGCGCGACUCCCUGGUGCUCUCCGAGUUCCUGCAGAACGUGCAAGAGGAGGAGGAGGCACGCAGCCGGCACCAACCCGCUCCGCCAGGGAGUGGGCAUCGUCACUCGCAGGGGUCUUUGCCCCUGCUCUCGGCCCCAGCAAGGCAACUGUCAUGCAGCGAGGACAUGAGCAGCCCCUUGGGACAGCUGCAGGAGGCUGUGGAGAUGCUGAACGAUGCAGUGAAGGAGCGAGAGCGUGUUGUGGAGGCAGCGGCGGAGAUGGAAAGCCUGGAGCGUCUGCUGGCAGAGGUGUCCCCAUGCCUGGAGGCCAUCCGAUGCAGAGCCGAAGCCCUGGCUCGAGAUACUGCCCAAGCGGAGAACGAUUUUGCCGUGGUGAAGAGCGAGAAAGACCUCCAGGGGCUGCAGGGCUUGCUGAGUCGGCAACAGGAGAUGGAGUGCGCGGUGACAGAGACCCUGCAGGGGCAGCUGGAGGAGCUGGAGAGGGCUGCUGCCCGCUUGGAAAAGCUCUGCCCUGCUCGGAUGCGCACCAUCGGCCCAGAGGUGCAGGGAGCCCUGCAGGCCUGGGAAGGACUGCAGAAGCUGCUAAGAGAGAACAAGGCCCACGUGCAACAGGCUGGCCGGCUGCGGCAGUUCUUCAAGGAUUAUUUAGCCAUGAUCUCCUGGACAGAGGACACGCGGGCUCAGAUCUUCUCAGAAAGCCCAGGCAGCCAUGGCUUUUUGGACACUCAGUGUGAGGAACUGGAGAGGAAGAUUGAAGGCAAGUUGAAGGAGUUUGAGGAGCUGGCGGCAGCGGGGCAGACGUUGGUGUCUGAGGAGCACUAUCUGAGUGAGACGAUAAAGGAGCGCAUGGAGGAGCUGCAGAGCAUGCUGGGCUGGGUGCUGGUACGUUGGCGAGCACAGAAACACCAGCGGGACCCUGGGACCAAGCUAGAGGACAGAAAGAACUCUGAAAAUCCCUUGGAUGCGAGGGAGAAGUGUGUCCCAUGCGUUCAGUCCUGUGCGGAGAGCAUGCUCAGCCUGAAAGGGCUUGCACCCUGCUCCCUCUCUGAAUCUGCACAAGGAUCAGAGCUGCAGCUGCGGGUGCUAGAAGAAACAGCCAUCUCCCCUCCAGCAUCACCCCUCUCUGAUGCCCUAUUGGGACUGGAGCCUGGCAGCUCGGUGCCCCAUGGCACGGGACCCCCUGCGGAGGAGGGUUUUGUCUGGGAUCCCUCUGAGACCUCCAUGGUGUUGCUGCCACCACGGGGGACCAGCAGCCUCGGGGGGACAGUCAACCUGAUCCUGAGCAUUGGCAAGAAAGGAGAGAAGAAACAGCCGCAGCUGGCGUCGGGCAGAGAACAGCCUGGGGAGGAGGCUCCGCAGAUGCUCUCUGCCACUAAACCCUCAAGCUGUAAAACCUUUUGGAAGCGUUGCCAGGGGCUUUUAGGAAACACUUGGGGUAGUUUAAAGCGAAAGAGAAAGCCAUCUCGCCAGUCUAUGGAAGAGGUAAUGUCCGGGGGGAGGCUGCAUGUGAGGCAAAGCGACUGCAUGGCAUGAACUUGCCUGCCACUAACCCAGCUGGCCAUCCUGCCAUGCCCUCUCUGCAAUGCUCCUCCCUGCCCCAGCAGGCUGGCUGGGGCCAGCCUUCCCCCCAGCAGGGCUGGCAGGUGCAGGCCCAGUGGUGGGCCACCUUGUAGAGAGGGAAAUACCCCUGGUGCCCCAAGGUCCAGAGUGUGGGAGCUGGGGCAUGCAAAGAGGGGUGUCAGCCUGCCGGGGCUGGCUGCAAUUUGGCCCCAGGGGUAAGUGAUUUUGGUGGCUGUGGGAGGUGUAGCAGGUGGGGCUCAUUCUAGCUGCUGGAGGGCAGAACCAGUCCCUUGUGCAGCUGGUGAAGGGGGC
rnacentral:lncRNA from 1 species